rnacentral:rRNA from 1 species
UACGGAGGAUGCAAGCGUUAUCCGGAUUUAUUGGGUUUAAAGGGUGCGCAGGUUGUUUGAUAAGUCAGUGGUGAAAGUCUGUCGCUUAACGGUAGGAUUGCCAUUGAUACUGUUGGACUUGAAUAUGGAUGAGGUAGGCGGAAUGUGUAGUGUAGUGGUGAAAUGCAUAGAUAUUACACAGAACACCGAUUGCGAAGGCAGCUCACAAAGCCAAGAUUGACGCUGAGGCACGAAAGUGUGGGGAUCAAACA